UACAGAGGGUGCAAGCGUUAAUCGGAAUUACUGGGCGUAAAGCGUGCGUAGACGGUUACGUAAGUCGGGUGUGAAAGCCCCGGGCUCAACCUGGGAAUUGCAUUCGAGACUGUGUAGCUAGGGUGCGGAAGAGGGAAGCGGAAUUUCCGGUGUAGCGGUGAAAUGCGUAGAUAUCGGAAGGAACAUCAGUGGCGAAAGCGGCUUCCUGGUCCAGCACCGACGUUCAGGCACGAAAGCGUGGGGAGCAAACAGG
rnacentral:rRNA from 1 species